rnacentral:rRNA from 1 species
UACGUAGGUGGCAAGCGUUAUCCGGAAUUAUUGGGCGUAAAGAGCGCGCAGGUGGUUAAUUAAGUCUGAUGUGAAAGCCCACGGCUUAACCGUGGAGGGUCAUUGGAAACUGGUUGACUUGAGUGCAGAAGAGGGAAGUGGAAUUCCAUGUGUAGCGGUGAAAUGCGUAGAGAUAUGGAGGAACACCAGUGGCGAAGGCGGCUUCCUGGUCUGCAACUGACACUGAGGCGCGAAGGCGUGGGGAGCAAACAGG